UGGCUAACUCCUACGGGAGGCAGCAGUAAGGAAUAUUGGUCAAUGGAGGCAACUCUGAACCAGCCAUGCCGCGUGCAGGAAGACGGCCCUCUGGGUUGUAAACUGCUUUUAUUCGGGAAUAAACCUAUCUACGUGUAGAUAGCUGAAUGUACCGAAGGAAUAAGGAUCGGCUAACUCCGUGCCAGCAGCCGCGGUAAUACGGAGGAUCCAAGCGUUAUCCGGAUUUAUUGGGUUUAAAGGGUGCGUAGGCGGCCUGUUAAGUCAGGGGUGAAAGACGGUAGCUCAACUAUCGCAGUGCCCUUGAUACUGAUGGGCUUGAAUGGACUAGAGGUAGGCGGAAUGUGACAAGUAGCGGUGAAAUGCAUAGAUAUGUCACAGAACACCGAUUGCGAAGGCAGCUUACUAUGGUCCUAUUGACGCUGAGGCACGAAAGCGUGGGGAUCAAACAGGAUUAGAAACCCCGGUAGUCCAGCUGG
rnacentral:rRNA from 1 species